rnacentral:rRNA from 1 species
ACUGCUCAGUAACACGUGGAUAACUUGCCCUUGGGUCUGGGAUAACCCCUGGGAAACUGGGGCUAAUACCGGAUAGAGCAUCAAUCGCUGGAAUGCAUGAUGCUCGAAAACUACGGUGCCCAAGGAUAGGUCUGCGGCUGAUUAGGUUGUUGUUGAUGUAAUGGACCAACAAGCCUACGAUCGGUACGGGUUGUGAGAGCAAUAGCCCGGAGAUGGGUUCUGAGAAAAGAACCCAGGUCCUACGGGACGCAUCAGGCGCGAAAACUUUACACUGUGCGAAAGCACGAUAAGGGAACUCUGAGUGCCCCCUAAGGGGGCUGUUCUAGUGUCUAAAAAGCAAUAGAAGUAAGGGCUGGGCAAGACCGGUGCCAGCCGCCGCGGUAACACCGGCAGCCCAAGUGGUAGCCACGUUUAUUGGGUCUAAAGCGUUCGUAGCCGGCUUGGUAAGUUCCUUGGUAAAUUUAGCCGCUUAACGGUUAAGCUUUCAGGGAAUACUACUUGGCUUGGGACUGGGAGAGGUCAGAGGUACUCCAGGGGUAGGGGUGAAAUCCAUUAAUCCUUGGGGGACCACCGGUAGCGAAGGCGUUUGACCAGACCAGCUCCGACGGUGAGGGACGAAGGCUAGGGGCGCGAACCGGAUUAGAUACCCGGGUAGUCCUAGCUGUAAACGAUGCGGGCUAGGUGUUGGCAUUACUGCGAGUGGUGCCAGUGCCGAAGGGAAGCCGUUAAGCUCGCCAUCUGGGGAGUACGGUCGCAAGGCUUAAACUUAAAGGAAUUGGCGGGGGAGCACCACAACGGGUGGAGCCUGCGGUUCAAUUGGAUUCAACGCCGG